GAUGAACGCUAGCGGCAGGCUUAAUACAUGCAAGUUGAGGGGCAGCAUGAUAUACGCGAGUAUAUUGAUGGCGACCGGCGGACGGGUGAGUAAUAGGUAGGAGACCUACCUCAUACAGGGGGAUAGCAUAGAGAAAUCUGUGGUAAUACCCCAUGAGGUUAUAUGAAUAGAGGCAUAUAAUCAAAGCAUAAGCGAUUAUGCGGUAUGAGAGGGGCCUACUGACCAUUAGCUAGUUGGUGAGGUAAGGGCUCACCAAGGCGAAGAUGGUUAGGGGUUUUGAGAGAGACGACCCCCCACAUUGGAACUGAGAGACGGUCCAGACUCCUACGGGAGGCAGCAGUAGGGAAUAUUGGGCAAUGGGCGAAAGCCUGACCCAGCCAUGCCGCGUGAAGGAAGACGGCCUUAUGGGUUGUAAACUUCUUUACUACGCGAAUAGAGGUUAGUACGAGAUACUAAUAGGAAGGUAGUGUAGUAAAAGCACCGGCUAACUCCGUG
rnacentral:rRNA from 1 species